rnacentral:lncRNA from 7 species
CCGCCCGCGGAGCCGCUCCAGCUUUUGUCUCCGUACGCUGCCUUCUUCCUUUCUCUCUUUCCAAACUUUUGAGCGCUCGCUCUGAGCUGUAUUUAUAGAGCUGGAGCCCACGGCUGUAUUUUUCCUUGUGCCUCCUUUGGCUUGGGCUGAAGUCACUGGCAGGGAAAAUAAGAAGGAGGCAGGCGGGCGGGCAGACGAGCGAGAGGACAGAAGGGAAAAAGAGCCUGAGUCCCGCAGACGGGACCUGGAGGGAGUCCGGGGUAGGCGGCGGAACGUGCGGGACCCUUUUCCCGCUGACGAGCGAGAGGUAACAGCGGAAGUAAGGACGCUCAAGUCUCUAAGAUGGCACCAAAUCUCUCAGCAAAGCGGGCAGUAUAGUUGCGUUGUUAAGCAUUUUCCUCGCCGGCGUGCACCACACUGACACUAAUGUCAGAAAUGAAUGUCAAAGUAACUCUGACAUCGUUAGACAGCCCGUUCCGCAGGUAAGCAAAAACAAGUGCAACUGCGGAAGGAGGUUUUUUUUGGGGGGGGUGGGGGAGGUGGGACAGAAAAUGAGGCGCUCAGGUUUGGCUUCUCGUGCAGAGCGGCGGGAGCCGCCGGACUGCACCUCUCUGCACCGUUCAGCGUAUUAUGGCCGUGUUCAAACUCAUUCCAGUGCGCCCUGAGGAAGGUAUAAAAUUAGAUUAAAGCUCCCAGCAGCGCAUCAGGUCCCGCUCUGAGCCUCGGCUCCGCACUCAGGCUUGUUCACGUCGCCGACACUUCAGAACAAAACCCGGCUACACUCAACGUCUCCGGGCAGAUUUUUCUGUUUGAUUACAUUAAUAAUUUAAUUUCUAUUUCCUACCGGCCCUUCCACGUGGGCAAAUCAAACCCCCUUCCAACAUGGGUGGGGGUUGUUAUUUAUAGCUCGUUCGCUGGAACAAAAUGUACCAACACUCCCUCCUUUGAAUCUCACUGCGGUUUGACUGCACUUUGAUAUUUAAGACCGUCGGUUUUCCUUGUCAAACUACCUGCUAUAGGAAAUUGCUCCCUUCGCUUGGCAAAUCACUCUUCACAAAGGUAGACAGGAACAUUUGCCUAAGGAAAGAAACGUUUCUAAAACGUUGCAAGGACAGAUCCACAUUAAUAAGCUGGUAAAUCUUCUGUAAGAGCUGCCCUUACGGUAACUGUGUGCAGAGUUCUCCGUAGCGCUGCGCCCAGCUACCAGAAUAAAUCAGAACCGAGUAAAACGCUGCCAUGCCUCCUCGUCCCCUUGACAGGGAUAUUUCUUCACCGCUUGCUGGGCAGAUUUUUGGGAACUCCACGUGCACCUCAUGAUCAAUACAAAAAUCCGGGUCCGAUUUUAAUAUUGUUUAAAUAUCCCUGCUGUCCCUUCCCAGCUGCAGUUCUGCCCUGCUGCUGCUGCUUCAGCAAAUGCAUACUUGUUAAAGUGCUUCCAAAUAUUUCCCUCGUUGUCUGAGAACUUCAGCUGACACCACUGCCACCGCUGUGCCCUUUGAAAGAAAAAAACACGUUUCUGUAUUUUGAGCUAAAAGCUCAACAAGAAGCUCAACGUAGGAGCAGGGGAAAAUAAAUAAAUAAAUAAACAAAACGCUAAGAGGGAACAAUGCAAAGUAGUUGGGAUAGAGAGAGAGAGAGAGAGAGAGAGAGAAAAGCCUCAAACGCUUCUGUCAAAUUAUGCCUACUAAAGACUGAAUUACAGUAAUUCAGGCUCUGAAAA